GUUGCAGAGAUGAGCUUCUCUAUGAAUCGAAAGAAGACUCCUUUUCAGAAGCAUCGAGAAGAGGAAGAAGCCAAGAAGAAGAGAGCUGAGAAUGAGACUGCUCGAUUGUAUGCUGAAUUUGUGGAGUCAUUUCAAGCGAAUGAUGAGCCUGGUUCAAAGCCUUCUGUUAGAGGAGGGUUGAUUAAUCCAAAU